GUCCAGGGAUGGGAAUCGAACCCACAUUGUUCCGCUUACCAGGCAGAUGCCAUGUCCACUAUUAUACCCUGGA